rnacentral:lncRNA from 1 species
GCUUACGACAUCCGCUCGCCGCCGCGAGCUCUUCAGCGCUUCACUGCCAUCGAGCUCCCGACCUAGCGGAGGCGCACGAGUAGAAACGGCGGCUUCCUCCUUUCUGCCGGUAAGAUCUACUGGAUCCCUAACUCUAAUCGCCGCCUGGCUAGCCCCUCACCACUCUCAUCUCUAAUUGCAAGGCUAGGUCUUCUAAGAAGCAACAGUGAUGAUCCCACAUGACCCUAAGUGACCAGCAGCAACAAUCUCAUCCAUGUAGCUGUCAAAUUUAAAUUUUCUGGAUCUGGGA